CCCAUUGUCCUGUUUGUUUUGCCAGACCUACAGAUUUGGAAGAGGAACUGUAUACAAGAAGCACCUACAUGAGACACCCACCCACUUGCCAGGAGGGAGAUUCCCUUUUACAAAAGAAUAAGGCUUCCUGCAUCAACAUGAGACAAAGAUACAUGUGCACAGCGUGUGCAGGGAUGAGCUUCUCCAGGAAUAGCAUGGUGUCCUGAAAACCCAUACUGAAUAAUAGUCAAAAUACAAUCUAGAGAGAAAUCCAAACUUGGAAGACCCGCUUGCAGUGUGUACGGUAUGUGGUAAUGAUGCACAGUUGUUUUGAAGAGACAGCCAAGGAGUCGGUGAUAUCAGUGGAUCCUGACUGAGCCCAUGGUUGGCAAUUUCACCAGAGAAAACGAUCUACCAGGCAGAGGAGACAUGAGGA